rnacentral:lncRNA from 1 species
AAAUGAGUGAGGGUGCAUUUCUACUUACUUGUGCUUUACAGCUAGAUCUGUGUUUAAAGAGAAUAGUGUCUAGAAAGAAAAAAUUAAUCCUAAUUCCUCUCUCAGGAGUCUCUAGACAGAGCCAGCUGCAAAGGAAGAUUGAUUGGAAAAUCAGGACUAGCACAUCAAGGCGUUGCCUAACCCACGUUAACUCCUCUUGGGGUACAGUGGCCACAUGGACACAAAACUGAGGAACCACUCACUGGCUGCCUGGGCCAAAAUGAACUCCUUGGGGGCAUUUUAUAGAGGCCUGGAUUUCUGGAAAAAAAUGUCACAGUAUUGUGAAAUCAGGAAGGGAAUUACUAAUAGGAAAGCAGAUUUCUGGAGACAUUUAGGACAGUUUUGCCUUCCUGCUAUCAGAUGUUUCAAGCCUGAGGAAGCCAGCCAGAUACAGGAAAAGGACAAAGAAUACGGAGAAGGUAAACUGCUGUAUGAAGUGUGAACAGCUCAUCUUCCCUUAACACAGCCCAUUUUACCACUGGAUCCAUCUUUUCUUUCAACAGCCUUUCCCACUGCUUAGUCCUCUUCUUGUUUUGCCUCUUUUCUUAGCCUGGUUAUCAGCAAAGUCAUUGCUGAUAAAAUCUGACUGGCAUGGAAGGUGUUGGCUGUGUGACUUGAGGACUGGAGGCUGAGUCAUGAACAGCAUGCACAGGACCUGGUGAAACUCUGGUCUGACCUGGUGUGCCCUAAAGUCCUGUUAUUAACCAGUUUCUUCAUACCUGAAUGUGAGUCAGGCAGUUCCUCAACAAGGCAGAAAUGGAUUCUGUGUGGUGAAACCUUGGAUUCCUUAUCCUGGUGCUACUGAUGAGUGUGAAAAGAACUUGGAUAUGUUUUAUGCCUUUAUCUGUCUAGGGCCUUUAGAAGGUUUUUUAGCUGAAGCCUCUCCAGUGAUGAUGAUUUCCAGCAGGGCUGGCGAUAACCUGCUGCCGAAGGAUGAGGCGCUGCUUCCCUCAGCGCAGCUCGCAGAAGCACCUGCAGUCAGUGCCAGCACAUUUUGGAGUUGUUUUCCACACCAAUCUCCUUUGGCAGGGCAGGGUGGGAGCGAGCUGCAUUGCUUAAGGCAGGGUAACACGUGCUCCCAUGGCAGACAGGGAUCUGUAGCAGAGACCCUGCUCUAAGAAGGGGGUCUGCUCUCUGCAGCUGCCAGGGCUGCGUGUGAUUAGUCAGCCCUGAUGCUGAGCUCUGCAGAUUAAUGUGUUCCUCUCCCCCCAUUACAUCCCUUCUCCACGAGGCAGUCUAUCUCUUGCAUCAGUAAUGACCAGCUGCAGAGCCUCAGGGUUUUCUCUAGCUACUUUUAACUGAUCUAGAACUUAUUUUUUCCAUGCUCUGCCUUUUCCUUGAUUGGUAAAUUCCCCAAUGUCUUUAAUCAAGCUGUGUUGAGCCUAGCAGUUCUGGCAAGUUUUCUUUUGUUUUAAUAAAAGGUGAGUUUGCUCCCCA